AGAAUCAACGCUGGCGGCGUGCCUAACACAUGCAAGUCGAACGAGAAAGUGGAGCAAUCCAUGAGUAAAGUGGCGACCGGGUGAGUAACACGUGACUAACCUACCUUUGAGUGGGGGAUAACAUCGGGAAACCGAUGCUAAUACCGCAUAACAUCGCAAGAUCAAAGCAGCAAUGCGCUUAAAGAGGGGGUCGCGGCUGAUUAGCUAGUUGGCGGGUAACGCCCACAAGGCGAAGAUCGGUAUCCGGCCUGAGAGGGCGCACGGACACACUGGAACUGAAACACGGUCCAGACUCCUACGGGAGGCAGCAGUGGGGAAUUUUGCGCAAUGGGGGAAACCCUGACGCAGCAACGCCGCGUGGAGGAUGAAGCCCCUUGGGGCGUAAACUCCUUUCGACCAAGACGAUAAUGACGGUACUGGUGGAAGAAGCACCGGCUAACUCUGUGCCAGCAGCCGC
rnacentral:rRNA from 1 species